AUUUCAUAUCCUAUUUUGAAAACCAAUAAAUGCUCCAAAGCAACUGGCAAAACUAGCUAAUAUCCUGUAGUUAUAUCAAUAAACUUAAUAUGUGGUACGGUGCUUGUCCAAUUUUAUAUAAAUGGUAUUAAUAUGACAAUUGAUGCUGCUGAUGAUGAUGAUAACAAGAUCAUCAUAAUCAGCUGCCGCUGCUGCUGUUGCUGCUGUUGCUCCUUGUUGUUUUUAUUGUUGUUCAAAUUACGCAAGCAAUCAAUGCCAAAGUGCCGGCCCAGACAGGUGACAAAGCGCAGUUACAGAUACACGCAUUUGGGUAUUGGAUGGCUCACCGAAAGUAUCUAUAAGAUGCGCACACAACAAAGCGGAAAACACAGAUACAUACACUCACACUCACACGUAUAUUAUAUUAUUUUCAAUAAGCAAGCGACAUAUUGAUAACAAAAGCUUUGAAAUACACACAGGCUCCGCGGACCCACUCUCCUGCCCCCUCGUCGUGGACAGAAAAUAUUGAAUAUAUAUCCCAAACAGACACACAAAGGAGCUGAGCAGCUCGUAGCAUAAAACAUUUUGAAAUUGUGAAAAAAUUGUAUGGCUCUGGCAUUGUAUUGAAUUUUGUAUUGUCCAUGUGGUUGUGUGCGAGUGUGUGUGCGCGAGUGUAUGUGUAUGGUUGAAGUAGAAAUCUCAUUGAACAUA